CUAAGGAUCGUCCUUCAUCGGCUUGCCGAUAUCGGACUUUCAUAGAACAAGAUUGGCUUAGUCAAAGCCAGUCGAAGACUAAAUGCGGAACUCUCGCCGCCUUCGUUUCUCUUUCUUCACAAACACGCAGACGUUGUCUGUUUGACUUGAUGACUGGUUCAUCGGGUUGCAAACAACGUCUUUGAUGUACCGGCUAGCCUUGAGUUUACGCCGAUCUCGUUUCAAACGAGAUGCUGGACUUGCCUGACUGCAGUGUCAGUCGUCGAGUUCCGGUCCAGGCGGAUGCCUGGUGGCCCGUAGCUCAGGUGGUUAGAGCGCACGCCUGAUAAGCGUGAGGUCGACAGUUCGAGUCUGUCCGGGCCAACCAAAACUGGUUCGGUUAGAGAGAAUGGGGCCUUAGCUCAGCUGGGAGAGCGCCUGCUUUGCAAGCAGGAUGUCGUCGGUUCGAUCCCGUCAGGCUCCACCACUUUCCUUAAAGUGGUGACACCAUUUCUUCUUUGAUUUGGUAGAGCAGGCGAUCGCCGGUUCCCAAGGUACAUAGCGUGUGAGAGCAAAGAGACAAGUUUGCUGAUCCUUAGCCUGCGAAGGCUGGAUUGGCGGAUCUUUCGACAUUGUAAAGAGAUGCUCUUUUGUCCCGUUUGACCCGCACCCCGGGGAGGAACAAGAGAAGCACGUGAAUUCUGGUUAAUUUGAUCUGACCGAUCAAAACGCUGACGCAAUAUGCGUCGGCAGCCACUGCAGUGAUUGCAGUGGCAUUUCACAAUCCCGACGACCAGACACACAGCUUCAAGAGGGCUGGGUGUCGCUAACGUUGCGGGCAUUGAUAAUGAGAACG
rnacentral:tRNA from 1 species